rnacentral:lncRNA from 1 species
AAACACAGUAACAAACAGAAGCGGGUGGGCAGUAAGACCCUGAGGCAGAAUGCAGGAAAGCAGCAGCUUCCUCUUUUCAAGGCUUCCCUUCUCCGGACGAUUGAUAUUUGCCUGAUUUUUGCCUUCACUCACGCCUGUCGGCUCCAGGGACCACACAUUCGCUCAAUAACACGCGCAGACAUUUCCCCUUACUUUUUACGAGAAAAAAAUCUGCGUGUUAUAGAGGGAAAAAUACGGUAUAUGAAAGUUCUUAGUGGAACUAGGGGGUGAUAAUGACUGGCUGUAGGCCUGAGAGUGUCAAGGGGGGAUCUUUUGCCUUUCUCCAAACAUUGAGAGGUGCAGAGGAAUCUCAGAGGCUCUCCACCCCUCUUCUCCUCCUAAACGGCCUCAGCCCAGUAUACCUGAAGAAGCGUCUCCACUCCCAUCAUUCAGCCCGGACACUGAGGUCCAGCGCCGAGGGUCUUCUGGUGGUUCCCUCACUGUGAGAAGCAAAGUUACAGGGAACCAGGCAGAGGGUUUUCUUGGUAGUGGCGCCCGCCCUGUGGAACGCCCUGCCAUCAGAUGUCAAAGAAAUAAACAACUGACUGACUUUUAGAAGACAUCUACAAUAUUCCCAGCUAUCAUUUGCCGGUAAAAUGCAAAAAUCCUGUUUACGAGCUUCACAAAGCUGCCGCCGAUAUAAACACAACAGAGGGCUAGACAAUGUAAAAACUUUUUUUUUGGUAAUUUUUAUUUGAACACAAGUAUUCUGACAGAAUGCAAAGUCAAAAUUCUCCGUUAGUAUCAGUAUUUACAUUGGUGAGAAUGGAAAUAAAGGUGGUAUUCCAUGUUUCACUCGGUAAAAAGUUUUUUGUCUUUUGUUUUGUUUUUUAUAACAAGAGAGAAGGCCCCUAAAACAGGGAAUGCUGGGUAGGGAUGUGAAUGGAGGACUGAGAACCACUAUCACCAUUGCCUAAGUGAACCCCCAGGGGUCUGAAGACAUCCACAGAAAAAGGGGGAGAAAUAAAGUAAAAUCCACACAGUUGUUGUUGUUUUAAAAAAAGACUCCAUGGUAAAACUCAAGCAAGAAAAUGUGCUAUUUUUUCCUAAUACAUUGCAUGAAAUACAUGUUUACCGUACUACGAGAAGCUGGGUGGUUAUAUAGAUAUAUAUGUAUGACGCAUACAUAUAUAAAUAUGCACAUCGUAAACAGUGUAUUGUUGGUCCCUAUUCAAAGGUCUGUGUCUGCUCAAAAAAUAAAAUAAACAGGUAUAAAAAUAAAAUUAAUGUGAAGACACCUUUAAAAUUUCAUAAGAGAGAAUGUUGCUUCUAAAUUUAAAACAAAACUCUUUCGCUGCCAAAGGAGGAACGAACAACAUAUUGGCAAGAGUGAAUAGGCAGAGAUACUGAACGCCAUUCCCCUCACCAAGAAAUAAAAGUCUGCUUCACUGAGAGCUCUGGGACAGGAAGGAGGGCUGCCGAUGCAAAGUGGAAACGCUCCCCUGCCAAAGAGCUCUUAAUGAAGCAGCCACGGCCUCUUGCCGCCAUGGCAACCAUGCUGAGAAAUGCCUGCCUGGUGAGGGGAAAGAGGGCAAAAAUGGCGGCCAUCUUGGUUGGUUUGUGAGGGAAUUUGUGAGGCUUUGCUCUUGCUCAGGAAGGCUCAGCUGACAUCAAAGCCCUUUGAAAGCCACAGGAGUCUUUCCAGGGAUGUCGACUGGGCUUUAGCUCAGGCCUCAAGAUGGCAGCCAGGCUUUGAUUUAUGUUCCCACAGGAUCAUACGGCACACUUUGCCUGUGUGGGCCCCCCUGGGAGAGGCUAUUGGCAGAUUAUGGUAGCAUAAGCCUCCCGUUAGCCACUCGUCGCUUAGUGGGAAAUAUAACAUAUGAGGUAUGAGGCAAGAGUUGGUUGGCGACAGUAUUUUGCAGGCCCUCACAAUGGCCGACCUUCAGGGACCAAGGGACGCCAUUCUUGCUAUCUUCCGAACAAUAAAUCCCUGCCCAUUCAUUUCCCUCUGGGGAGGAAAAAAAGUCCAUGUGAGAACAUUACCGGGGGGGGGGGGUAUAUUUACACCCUUUAACAAAAUAAAUUCCUUGAAGGGCUAGAGUUCCCCUCCCCACUUUAUACCUUUAUAAACAAGUCCCCCACCCAGGCACACAGUAGAGGCUCGGACGCCACAGGCGCUGGAUGCGCGCACAUCGAUAUAAAGGCAGCCUCCAUUUCCACCCCCAUGAGCUGAAGAGAAAAAACAAAAACAACAAGAAAGCAGCCCCCACCCUGCCCCCACAUUUAGCAAAAUGACAAAGACUCUUGGUUUUUCACAGUUGGGAAUGAUAACUGAGAGAUGCCACAUUGACGGACUGCGCACAUGAGAUUAUAUCAAAAGGCGUGGCUUCAUUUUGCUUAGGCCGGACUGCAGUCUCCCCCCA